GACGAACGCUGGCGGCGUGCCUAAUACAUGCAAGUCGAACGCACGAAGUUGAAGAGCUUGCUCUUUAACCAAGUGAGUGGCGGACGGGUGAGUAACACGUGGGUAACCUACCCAUUAGAGGGGGAUAACAUUCGGAAACGGAUGCUAAUACCGCAUAGUUUCAGGAAUCGCAUGAUUCGUGAAGAAAAGGUGGCUUCGGCUACCACUAAUGGAUGGACCCGCGGCGUAUUAGCUAGUUGGUGAGGUAAUGGCUCACCAAGGCAAUGAUACGUAGCCGACCUGAGAGGGUGAUCGGCCACACUGGGACUGAGACACGGCCCAGACUCCUACGGGAGGCAGCAGUAGGGAAUCUUCCGCAAUGGACGAAAGUCUGACGGAGCAACGCCGCGUGAGUGAAGAAGGUUUUCGGAUCGUAAAACUCUGUUGUUAAAGAAGAACAAGGAUGAGAGUAACUGCUCAUCCCCUGACGGUAUUUAACCAGAAAGCCACGGCUAACUACGUGCCAGCAGCCGCGGUAAUACGUAGGUGGCAAGCGUUGUCCGGAUUUAUUGGGCGUAAAGCGAGCGCAGGCGGUUCUUUAAGUCUGAUGUGAAAGCCCCCGGCUCAACCGGGGAGGGUCAUUGGAAACUGGAGAACUUGAGUGCAGAAGAGGAGAGUGGAAUUCCACGUGUAGCGGUGAAAUGCGUAGAUAUGUGGAGGAACACCAGUGGCGAAGGCGACUCUCUGGUCUGUAACUGACGCUGAGGCUCGAAAGCGUGGGGAGCAAACAGG
rnacentral:rRNA from 1 species